GCGGGGGGAUUAGUGGCGAACGGGUGAGUAACACGUGAGUAACCUGCCCUUAACUCUGGGAUAAGCCUUGGAAACGAGGUCUAAUACUGGAUAUUGACUUUACCUCGCAUGGGGUUUUGUUGAAAGAUUUAUUGGUUUUGGAUGGACUCGCGGCCUAUCAGCUUGUUGGUGAGGUAAUGGCUCACCAAGGCGACGACGGGUAGCCGGCCUGAGAGGGUGACCGGCCACACUGGGACUGAGACACGGCCCAGACUCCUACGGGAGGCAGCAGUGGGGAAUAUUGCACAAUGGGCGAAAGCCUGAUGCAGCGACGCCGCGUGAGGGAUGACGGCCUUCGGGUUGUAAACCUCUUUCAGUAGGGAACAAGGCCAGCAUUUUUGUUGGUUGAGGGUACUUGCAGAAGAAGCGCCGGCUAACUACGUGCCAGCAGCCGCGGUAAUACGUAGGGCGCAAGCGUUAUCCGGAAUUAUUGGGCGUAAAGAGCUCGUAGGCGGUUUGUCGCGUCUGCCGUGAAAGUCCGGGGCUCAACCCCGGAUCUGCGGUGGGUACGGGCAGACUAGAGUGAUGUAGGGGAGACUGGAAUUCCUGGUGUAGCGGUGAAAUGCGCAGAUAUCAGGAGGAACACCGAUGGCGAAGGCAGGUCUCUGGGCAUUAACUGACGCUGAGGAGCGAAAGCAUGGGGAGCGAACAGGAUUAGAUACCCUGGUAG
rnacentral:rRNA from 1 species